rnacentral:miRNA from 1 species
UUAAUCAUCCAUACAGUAUAAAGUUUUUUACACUGACAACCAAUCAUAUCUUUUAAAUUAUUUUAUUUUAUUUUUAGUUCAUUAAAUAAGAAAAUGACAUGACACUAAUAAACAAUAUGAUUGAUUGCUAGUGUAAAAAAAACUUUACACUAACAUUAUAUAGGU